ACGGGUGAGUAAUGCCUAGGAAUCUGCCUGGUAGUGGGGGAUAACGUUCGGAAACGGACGCUAAUACCGCAUACGUCCUACGGGAGAAAGCAGGGGACCUUCGGGCCUUGCGCUAUCAGAUGAGCCUAGGUCGGAUUAGCUAGUUGGUGAGGUAAUGGCUCACCAAGGCGACGAUCCGUAACUGGUCUGAGAGGAUGAUCAGUCACACUGGAACUGAGACACGGUCCAGACUCCUACGGGAGGCAGCAGUGGGGAAUAUUGGACAAUGGGCGAAAGCCUGAUCCAGCCAUGCCGCGUGUGUGAAGAAGGUCUUCGGAUUGUAAAGCACUUUAAGUUGGGAGGAAGGGCAGUUGCCUAAUACGUAACUGUUUUGACGUUACCGACAGAAUAAGCACCGGCUAACUCUGUGCCAGCAGCCGCGGUAAUACAGAGGGUGCAAGCGUUAAUCGGAAUUACUGGGCGUAAAGCGCGCGUAGGUGGUUUGUUAAGUUGGAUGUGAAAUCCCCGGGCUCAACCUGGGAACUGCAUUCAAAACUGACUGACUAGAGUAUGGUAGAGGGUGGUGGGAAUUUCCUGUGUAGCGGUG
rnacentral:rRNA from 1 species